CUUUGAGGCAGAUUUUUACCUAGCAACAGCAUGCAACCGCUCACCAACUGUUGGGGGAAAUACACAUUUUCUUCCUGUCCUGAAUGGUGAUUGUAUCUCGUCCAAUUUGGCUGACAACGAGCGCCUUGCAUAUGACCUCAAAAACCUUUAUAAAGCCAGUGGUAAGAUUAGCAUAAUCACUGGGAAGAUUAUUAAUUAGCACUUCUGUCUCCCUUGGCUACUCAGUGUGCCAGUGGAUAACAUUUAAUUCUGUUAGAGAAAGCUGGGCUAGCUGCUUCCAAUUGUUUCCACUUUGUGCUAAUCUAAUGCAAACUGGCUGUUAGGGGUAAUUUUAUAUUAAUUGUGAGUGCUAUUAUUUCUUCUUUUCUGGUCUCAACUCAGUGCCACAAAAUGUUGGGGGGAAAAGUGCGUGAUAACAUUUAACUUCAUUUGGGUUUGAGGUGAUAACACAGGUGGAGUCUUAGAUUCUAGCUCACUGUAUGGUCCUGCAAGCAAUGAGAAAAGAUGCUUUUAACACUUUGUACCUCAGUUACAUGCUCAAAAUGUGUUUUCAGUAUGUUGCAAACGGAGUCCAUUUCACCUUCAGCUCUGUCGUCUUUCUUUCCCUUAAAAUUAUUUAAUUUCUCGGAUUACUGACAUUUAAAAAAAAGUAGACAUUUCUUCUGUAAACAGCUACUUUAAAAUGAACUGACUGAACUGAUGGUUAAAGGAUGCUGUGUAUUCACCGCUGCUUUUAUUUCACUUAUUAUACUCACGAGCUCUUUGAGGAAAAGUGUCUUAUCUGCCAUUUUCACUUCAGGUAUAGUAACUAAACACCGGGUUCAUUUUUAGGAAUUUCUUUGUUGCUUUAUUGCUCCGGUUCUGGGUUUUUAACCUGUUUUCAGCUGUGGGUUAAAGGAAUGCUCCCAGUAUUUGUGGCGAUCACAGCUGGGGAGGGGGAAGGGUAGAUGCACUGUUGUUUCCUACCUGGUUACACAGAGUAAGUAAUCCUGACAGCGAUACUAAAAAUGGUACUUAUCAGAAAUAAAAACUUAGCUUCUUUUUC
ensembl:lncRNA